AUUGAUCGCUGGCGGCAGGCCUAACACAUGCAAGUCGAGCGGAUGAAGGGAGCUUGCUCCUGGAUUCAGCGGCGGACGGGUGAGUAAUGCCUAGGAAUCUGCCUGGUAGUGGGGGAUAACGUCCGGAAACGGGCGCUAAUACCGCAUACGUCCUGAGGGAGAAAGUGGGGGAUCUUCGGACCUCACGCUAUCAGAUGAGCCUAGGUCGGAUUAGCUAGUUGGUGGGGUAAAGGCCUACCAAGGCGACGAUCCGUAACUGGUCUGAGAGGAUGAUCGGUCACACUGGAACUGAGACACGGUCCAGACUCCUACGGGAGGCAGCAGUGGGGAAUAUUGGACAAUGGGCGAAAGCCUGAUCCAGCCAUGCCGCGUGUGUGAAGAAGGUCUUCGGAUUGUAAAGCACUUUAAGUUGGGAGGAAGGGCACUAAGUUAAUACCUUGCUGUUUUGACGUUACCAACAGAAUAAGCACCGGCUAACUUCGUG
rnacentral:rRNA from 1 species